GACGAACCGGACAAACGUUAUUCGGAAUCACUGGGCUUAAAGGGUGCGUAGGCGGCUCAGAAAGUUGGGUGUGAAAGCCCUCGGCUCAACCGAGGAACUGCGCCCAAAACUACUGAGCUUGAGGGACACAGAGGUAAGCGGAACUUAGGGUGGAGCGGUGAAAUGCGUUGAUAUCCUAAGGAACACCAGGAGCGAAAGCGGCUUACUGGGUGUCUUCUGACGCUGAGGCACGAAAGCUAGGGGAGCGAACGGG
rnacentral:rRNA from 1 species